UGGUCGGGGCCACUCCCUGUAAGUAAGUUUCCCAAAUGAACUGUGAGAAGAAGAUUCCUCGUUGCCACGUCAUUCUUGUUGGUCGAGGGUGGUCGCGACAAAGUGGUGGCCCGUAUGGGGGCGUUGGAACUUCUCACAGUCGGGGCGGUACCAGUAAGUUACCGAGGAACACAAUAUCCAGGACUUCUCAAGUGGGUACCUCCUAAAGGGGACUGAUAACCCUGACUGUUCAUGAUAUCCAGUAAGUUUUCUCACGUGAGUAGCAAUGUCAUGGACUGCUCCCCAAAAGCUACACAGAAUCCAGAACUUCUUCCCAUAUUUCAAGUCAACUGCAUCAGCUCUGGUACCAGCCCAAGCUUUCCCUUGGAGUCUACACCCUGGUCCAGUCUCACAGAUUGCUCUUAGAUGGUCCCACAGAACCGAGACACUGAAAGACACAGCCUGCUUUUCCUGGCCUCGACCAGUAUUCCAGCUUCCUUGGGUCCACAACAAUGAUUCCCCGAUGGCAUGGCAACAGGGAGCAGCCCGAGAGAAUGAGGUCCACCUAAUGCAACCCCAACAACGCAAUAACAAAACAAAAGGGUGUGAAUGAUGGUCCUCUAGCAGGCCCAACAAGGUCUAUUUCCUGACUUGACCACUGAUUCAUUACUGAGACAAUACCCCAAGGUCCAACAAUCAAAACUUUUUAUUUGGCUAAUAUGUCCAAUCAGCAUUCACCAGCUCACCUUAUCACAGACUCCCCCUUUUUACCCUUAGAAACCCAGUCCUGUGGAAACACCAUUGUUUCCUUGCUUGCCCUCCUGCUUUUCUUGUUUGUGCUUGCUGCCGCAGCCUCUGCAGCCCCCCACCAUGCCCCUCUUGGGUAAUAAAUCUCCUUUGUGAUGAGAGUUUGGUGUCUGGGUAAGUCCUGAAUUGACUCUGAAGGGGCCGACUUCACUUAUACGUCUUACUAUGAGGAACUGUAUGUAGAAGACUAUGUCUCAUGAGGGUCAUGGUUUUCAUUACCAUUCCCCAUGUAGGUACAUGAUAUGGUUUUCUGCAUCCCAUUCACAUACAUUAAAUACAGGCCUGUUUCCCUUGGGGGUAUGCUGUAUCCAGAACUCCUUCCCACACUCCCAUAAGAGAAAAAUAU